ensembl:misc_RNA
GGGUGACUGAUUUUACCGGGCCAGCUGACUAAUAUUAUAAUUAACAAAGUUUGCUACAUCUGUAAAGUUUAAUCGAAAAUUUUACCGGUGAUAUGAUGGCAUUGUCACAAAAAUCACAAGAGACCAGGAGCCUCUUCUUAUUCAAGGUGGAGCGGCAAAGCAGUGUGGGCAUGAUGAAAAACUGUGUACUUGUUCAACCAAA